rnacentral:lncRNA from 1 species
AACCUGAGCUGAUGUGAUUUUGGCUAGAAUGUAUGGUCAUCAAAUGUUGGAACUAAAUACUGGAGGCAAACCAUCCAUACAUGAGGAUCUUCGAGCUAUUGUAGAUUACCCCCUUGGUCAUUAUGCUAAGACCUUGCUAUGGACCGGUCUGGAGUCUGUGAAGCCUUUUUAUGAUGACAUUCCUACUGAUGAGGAGCGGAGGUACAAGGAUUUAGAUAUGGAGUCAGAUGAGGAGGACCAGUCUGAUGAUUGAACAGAUGAUGAUGGUGAUAAAG